rnacentral:rRNA from 1 species
UACAGAGGUGGCAAGCGUUGUUCGGAAUUACUGGGCGUAAAGGGCGCGUAGGCGGCCGCCUAAGUCAGACGUGAAAUCCCCAGGCUUAACUUGGGAACUGCGUCUGAUACUGGGUGGCUUGAGUUCGGGAGAGGAAUGUGGAAUUCCAGGUGUAGCGGUGAAAUGCGUAGAUAUCUGGAGGAACACCAGCGGCGAAGGCGGCGCUCUGGGCCGGAACUGACGCUGAGGAGCGAAAGCGUGGGGAGCAAACAGG